UACGAAGGGGGCUAGCGUUGCUCGGAAUCACUGGGCGUAAAGGGUGCGUAGGCGGGUCUUUAAGUCAGGGGUGAAAUCCUGGAGCUCAACUCCAGAACUGCCUUUGAUACUGAAGAUCUUGAGUUCGGGAGAGGUGAGUGGAACUGCGAGUGUAGAGGUGAAAUUCGUAGAUAUUCGCAAGAACACCAGUGGCGAAGGCGGCUCACUGGCCCGAUACUGACGCUGAGGUGCGAAAGCGUGGGGGAGCAAACAGGG
rnacentral:rRNA from 1 species